rnacentral:tRNA from 1 species
GGAGAGGUGGCCGAGCUGGCUGAAGGCAGCCGCCUGCUAAGCGGCUGAAGGGUCAAAAGCUCUUCCCGGGGUUCGAAUCCCCGCCUCUCCG